GCUACCGUCACAUGAGGGAUCGUACGAGGCUCCGUCGGAGAGCUCUUCUUUUUACCAUUCUCCAUCGCCUUAUGUGAUUCAAACACCUCUACCAUGGGUGAUGCAAACACCUCCACAUUCAUUAUUCUAUCAAGGUGGGUCAUCCUCCCAACACCUACAACCAGAUCCCAUACCGGAGGAACUACAAUCCCUACCGGAGCAACCACAACUCUCGCUGGAAACUGAACUAAUGAGGAAUCCAGCGCGUAACCGUCGACGACCCCCAUGUGGCAC
rnacentral:lncRNA from 1 species